rnacentral:rRNA from 1 species
AUGGUGCGGCUGACGCUGGAGCAGACGGCGAGGGAGGCGGCGCCCGCCGGCUGCCUCGCCACGUUCCUCGACCUCUCCCACCGCUCCUUCACCGACGUGUCGUGCCUGGGGAGCUUCAAGAACCUGGAGCGCCUCGACCUCGGCCACAACUGCCUCGUCACGCUCGAGGGUUUGUCCGCGUGCACCAAUCUCAAGUGGCUCUCGGUUAUUGAAAACAAGCUUGUCAGCUUGAAAGGUGCCGAGGUCCUCUCGAAGCUGCAGGUACUAAAUGCUGGCAAAAAUAAAUUGACAAGAAUCGAUGAGGUCAAAUCGAUGACAAGCCUAGGAGCCUUGAUUCUCAACGACAACAACAUUACUUCCAUCUGCAAGCUUGAUCCCCAUCAUCAGUUGAAUACUCUUGUUCUCUCUAAGAAUCCAGUUAUUACUUUUGGUGAUGCUUUGGUCAAUGCCAAGUCUAUAAAGAAGAUAUCCAUGUCUCACUGUGAAAUAGAAAGCAUUGGAUCUUCUCUUGCUGCAUGUGUGGAACUGAAGGAACUUCGGCUUGCUCACAAUAAGAUCACUACAAUUCCAUCAGACUUGGCCAAAAAUACCAAAAUCUUGAACCUUGACUUGGGAAAUAACUUAAUUGAGAGGGAGUCAGAUUUGAAGGUCCUUUCUGAACUGCGCUACUUGAGGAACCUAAAUUUGCAGGGAAACCCUAUUGCUGAGAAAGGCACCCUAGCUAAAAAGGUCAUGAAAAUUGUGCCGAACUUGCGCAUUUUCAAUGCAAAGCCCAUAGAAGCCAUUUCCCAGAAUGAGAACUCUGGGAAAGGGAGUAAGCUGAAGAAGGAUGAAGAGAUGCCUGAUCGUGAUCCCAUCGAUUCUAAUACGGAAAAGAAGGAGAAAAGGAAACGGUCAAAGCAACAAGUGCAGAGCCCUGAAGAACCUGCUGCCAAAGAUACUCCUCCAGCUGCCACCAUUGCUGCCCCAGUGAAAUCCGCAUUGUCGGAUAGUAAGAAAAAGAAGAAGGAGAAGGUAUUCACGGAGCAGGACAAGAGCAGCAGACCGAAAAGCAAGGAUGACAAGGCUUCUUUCGAUGAUACCGAAGGAAAGGCCAAGAAGGAAUCCAAGAAGAAGAAAUCUGCCAACAAAGGAGAUAAAGAUGCGGGAGGAAUCGAUGACACAGAAGUGUCGUUUGCAGAGUUGAUGUUUUCUGGAGACGGCGGUGUCCCAGAGCCCAUGCCGAAGGACAAGACCCAGGCAACUGCUGUGGAUGGAAAAUUUGUCGGAGGCCUGGUGAUUGAUCACACCAAGAAGAGGAAGAAGGCGAAGGGCACCCCUAUCGACGCGUCGGAUCUUAAGCAGUUGUGCUCUGCGCCCGAGGUGGGUGCGGGUGGACUGUCGGGCUGGGAUUAG